rnacentral:misc_RNA from 1 species
ACUGGGGAUGCCUGUGUUUACGCAGUCCGGGCUUGCCUGGACCGCCAGCAGAUGGGCUCUGUGGAUGACUGGCCGCUGGCUAGACCUGAAACCUGAGCAACGGGAGGUAACCUCUCGCCGCGGACACCGGAAUGGUAGAAGCGGCGUGCUGCGUCCUCCUCUUGGGGCCCCUAAGCCACACCUCCCACAGCGGGUUCGGUGCGGCGGACGGACGCCCUGGGGAAUUUAGAGGGGGAAAGCGGAUUGCCCUAGCGGUGUCGUUGGCCCUGCCGACCUCACUGCGAAAGGCGCGAC